CCCAGACUCCUACGGGAGGCAGCAGUGGGGAAUAUUGCACAAUGGGGGGAACCCUGAUGCAGCGACGCCGCGUGGGUGAAGGAGUACUUCGGUACGUAAAGCCCUAUCAGCAGGAAAGAAAAUGACGGUACCUGACUAAGAAGCCCCGGCUAACUACGUGCCAGCAGCCGCGGUAAUACGUAGGGGGCAAGCGUUAUCCGGAUUUACUGGGUGUAAAGGGAGCGUAGACGGCAGUGCAAGUCCGGAGUGAAAGCCCGGGGCUCAACCCUGGGACUGCUCUGGAAACUGUAAAGCUGGAGUGCGGGAGGGGCAGGCGGAAUUCCUGGUGUAGCGGUGAAAUGCGUAGAUAUCAGGAGGAACACCGGCGGCGAAGGCGGCCUGCUGGACCGUAACUGACGUUGAGGCUCGAAAGCGUGGGGAGCAAACAGGAUUAGAUACCCGCGUAGUC
rnacentral:rRNA from 1 species